UACGUAGGUGGCAAGCGUUGUCCGGAAUUACUGGGCGUAAAGCGUGCGUAGACGGUUAUGUAAGUCGGGUGUGAAAGCCCCGGGCUCAACCUGGGAAUUGCAUUCGAGACUGUGUAGCUAGGGUACGGAAGAGGGAAGCGGAAUUUCAGGUGUAGCGGUGAAAUGCGUAGAUAUCUGAAGGAACACCAGUGGCGAAAGCGGCUUCCUGGUCCAGUACCGACGUUCAGGCACGAAAGCGUGGGGAGCAAACAGG
rnacentral:rRNA from 1 species